AUGGCGUACCGGAGGAAGCAGGGCAUCCAGCGGUCGAACACCUUCGUGGAGGACCACCGCCAGCCGUCGCCGGGCGACUCCGCGUCGCCCGCCACCGCGUCCCCGCGCGCCACCCGCUUCGCCGACGACAGCCGCCGGCCCGACCGCUCCCUGGCGGCGCAGACCCUGCUCGCCUCCGCCGCGCGCGGGGACAUGCAGGCGCUCGCCGAGCGCUUCACUGCAUCCUCCUCGUCCCCGCUCGCCGCCCGGCCGAGUGACCCCGUCACGUCGUCGUCCCUGCGGGUGUCCCCGCGCGCCGCCCGGGCGGCUGACCCCGCCACGUCGUCGUCCCUGCGCGUGUCCCCGCGCUCCGGCCGGCCGAAUGACCCCAUCACGUCGACGUCCCCACGGGCGUCCCCGCGCUCCGGCCGGCAGAACGACAUGUUCGCGCAGGAUCCUGUGACCAUGCUGUACACGUCCACGUCGAGCGCCACGAACGACGACUCCAAGCUUUCACCAGUGAAGAAAGACGAGACGAAGCAAGGACUGUGGGGGCUUCUGGCGCAGCAAGCUAAGGCCAUGCUCGACGAAAGUGCCCCCACAGAGGAGGCCCGGAGCCAGCCUCUGGCCACAUCAGCCGGCAGUCCGCAAGCUCAAUCACGGUGGUCCUACGACCCGGUCCGGAAGUCGGAGAGCCCUACGUUCCAGCACGGAUCGGAAGGGCCGAAGUUCGACAUGGGAGGGCACAUCAAGAAUGCGCUGGAGGAGGGCCUGCAUGCGGCGACGAUGGCGGAGAGCAGGACGCCGGCGGUGGUGGGGAGGAAGCUGCAGAUCAGGAGGAAGACGUGCAGCGUGGACAUGCGGAGCGCCCACCUGAACCUGGGCACCCCCGACCUCAUGUCGCCGAUGAUGACCGACUUCGAGUCGCCCCAGAUCAAAGCUUCUCGCGACGUGGCGAACGUGAUGGCGGCCAAGGUGAAGCUGCUGCAGCGGGAGCUCAAGACGGUGAACGCCGACCUGGCCUUCUCCAAGGAGCGGUGCGCGCAGCUGGAGGAGGAGACCCGCCUGCACCGGGCCGGCAACAACGACCACGCCGCCAACGAGGACCUGGUACGGAAGCAGCUGGAGACGCUGCUGGCGGAGAAGGCGCGGCUGGCCACCGAGAACACGGUGUACGCCAGGGAGAACCGGUUCCUGCGGGAGAUCGUCGACCUCAACCAGCUAACCGUGGUCGGCCUCCAAGAGGACAUCAUCGAGGAGGAAGAAGAAGAAGAAGAAUACGAGGAGGAAGAAGAAGAAUACGAGGAGGAGGAAGAGGCCGAGCACGACACACCGGCCAACCCCGGCACUGCCCCUCCCAAGCCCCCCUCACAUCACACCGACAAUGUGCAUGUUGCUGCCCCACAGCCGCCCUCUCGCCGCACCGACAAUGCGGCUGUUCCUGCCCCCAAGUCUCCCUCACAUCGCACCGACAAUGCACCGGUUGCUGCCCCCCAGUCGCCCUCUCGCCGCACCGACAAUGUGCCAGUUACUGUCCCACAGUCGCCCUCUCGCCGCACUGACAAUGUGCCGGUUGCAUCUCCCUGCACCGACAAUGCGCCGGAGUCGAGGAGCACAGACAACAGCAGCAACGCUGCCAUCGGAGUUGCCGGGUCGCCCAUGCACCGGAGUCCAAAGGAAGAUGAAGGUUCACAGCAGACAAACCCCAUUCGAGAUAAUUGCUCGCCGGAGAAGGCCUCCCAGCAGCAGCAAUGCCAAGACUGA
rnacentral:rRNA from 1 species